ACGAACGCUGGCGGCGUGCUUAACACAUGCAAGUCGAACGGAAAGGCCCUGCUUUUGUGGGGUGCUCGAGUGGCGAACGGGUGAGUAACACGUGAGUAACCUGCCCUUGACUUUGGGAUAACUUCAGGAAACUGGGGCUAAUACCGGAUAGGAGCUCCUGCUGCAUGGUGGGGGUUGGAAAGUUUCGGCGGUUGGGGAUGGACUCGCGGCUUAUCAGCUUGUUGGUGGGGUAGUGGCUUACCAAGGCUUUGACGGGUAGCCGGCCUGAGAGGGUGACCGGCCACAUUGGGACUGAGAUACGGCCCGGACUCCUACGGGAGGCAGAAGUGGGGAAUAUUGCACAAUGGGCGGAAGCCUGAUGCAGCAACGCCGCGUGCGGGAUGACGGCCUUCGGGUUGUAAACCGCUUUCGCCUGUGACGAAGCGUGAGUGACGGUAAUGGGUAAAGAAGCACCGGCUAACUACGUG
rnacentral:rRNA from 1 species